rnacentral:rRNA from 1 species
UACGUAGGGUGCGAGCGUUAAUCGGAAUUACUGGGCGUAAAGCGUGCGCAGGCGGUUCGUUGUGUCGGCGGUGAAAGCCCCGGGCUCAACCUGGGAAUGGCCGUUGAAACUGGCGAACUGGAGUGUGGCAGAGGGGGGUGGAAUUCCGCGUGUAGCAGUGAAAUGCGUAGAGAUGCGGAGGAACACCGAUGGCGAAGGCAGCCCCCUGGGCCAACACUGACGCUCAUGCACGAAAGCGUGGGGAGCAAACAGG